GGCUACACACGUGCUACAAUGGCGCGUACAGAGGGCUGCAAGCUAGCGAUAGUGAGCGAAUCCCAAAAAGCGCGUCGUAGUCCGGAUCGGAGUCUGCAACUCGACUCCGUGAAGUCGGAAUCGCUAGUAAUCGCAAAUCAGAAUGUUGCGGUGAAUACGUUCCCGGGCCUUGUACACACCGCCCGUCACACCAUGGGAGUGGGUUGCACCAGAAGUAGAUAGCUUAACCUUCGGGAGGGCGUUUACCACGGUGUGAUUCAUGACUGGGGUGAAGUCGUAACAAGGUAACCCUAGGGGAACCUGGGGUUGGAUCACCUCCUUACCUUAA
rnacentral:rRNA from 1 species